AUUGAACGCUGGCGGCAGGCCUAACACAUGCAAGUCGAGCGGAUGAAGGGAGCUUGCUCCUGGAUUCAGCGGCGGACGGGUGAGUAAUGCCUAGGAAUCUGCCUGGUAGUGGGGGAUAACGUCCGGAAACGGGCGCUAAUACCGCAUACGUCCUGAGGGAGAAAGUGGGGGAUCUUCGGACCUCACGCUAUCAGAUGAGCCUAGGUCGGAUUAGCUAGUUGGUGGGGUAAAGGCCUACCAAGGCGACGAUCCGUAACUGGUCUGAGAGGAUGAUCAGUCACACUGGAACUGAGACACGGUCCAGACUCCUACGGGAGGCACCAGUGGGGAAUAUUGGGCAAUGGGCGAAAGCCUGAUCCAGCCAUGCCGCGUGUGUGAAGAAGGUCUUCGGAUUGUAAAGCACUUUAAGUUGGGAGGAAGCGCAGUAAGUUAAUACCUUGCUGUUUUGACGUUACCAACAGAAUAAGCACCGGCUAACUUCGUG
rnacentral:rRNA from 1 species